rnacentral:rRNA from 1 species
AUUGAACGCUGGCGGCAUGCGUUACACAUGCAAGUCGAACGGUAACAGGGAGCUUGCUCCGCUGACGAGUGGCGAACGGGUGAGUAAUGCGUCGGAACGUGCCGAGUAGUGGGGGAUAACGCAUCGAAAGGUGUGCUAAUACCGCAUACGUACUGAGGUAGAAAGUGGGGGACCUUCGGGCCUCACGCUAUUCGACCGGCCGAUGUCAGAUUAGGUAGUUGGUGAGGUAAAGGCUCACCAAGCCGACGAUCUGUAGCUGGUCUGAGAGGACGACCAGCCACACUGGACUGAGACACGGCCCAGACUCCUACGGGAGGCAGCAGUGGGGAAUUUUGGACAAUGGGCGCAAGCCUGAUCCAGCAAUGCCGCGUGCAGGAUGAAGGCCUUCGGGUUGUAAACUGCUUUUGUACGGAGCGAAACGGCUUCCACUAAUACUGGGGGCUAAUGACGGUACCGUAAGAAUAAGCACCGGCUAACUACGUGCCAGCCGCCGCCGUAAUAC